rnacentral:pre_miRNA from 1 species
CAAAUACUCCCUCCGUCCGGAAAUACUUGUCAUCAGAAUGGAUAAAAGGAAAUGUAUCUAGACGUAUUUUAGUUUUAGAUACAUCUCUUUUUGUCCAUUUUGAUGACAAGUAUUUUUGGACGGAGGGAGUAGAAA